GACGAACGCUGGCGGCGUGCUUAACACAUGCAAGUCGAACGGAAAGGCCCUGCUUUUGUGGGGUGCUCGAGUGGCGAACGGGUGAGUAACACGUGUGUAUCCUGCCCUUGACUUUGGGAUAACUUCACGAAACUGGGGCUAAUACCGGAGAGGAGCUCCUGCUGCAUGGUGGGGGUUGGAAAGUUUCGGCGGUGGGGGAUGGACUCGCGGCUUAUCAGCUGGUUGGUGGGGUAGUGGCUUACCAAGGCUUUGACGGGUAGCCGGCCUGAGAGGGUGACCGGCGACAUUGGGACUGCGAUACGGACCAGAAGCCUACGGGAGGCAGCAGUGGGGAGUAUUGCGCAGUGGGCGGAAGCCUGAUGUAGCAGCGCCGCGUGCGGGAUGACGGCCUAUGGGUUGUAAACCGCUUUCGAAUGAGCCGAAGCGUGAGUGACGGUAAUGGGUAAAGAAGCACCGGCUAACUACGUG
rnacentral:rRNA from 1 species